UCAGUUGCGCCUGGGCUGCGGUUCCCCUUCUCCACCUCGAUCGAUUCGUCUCCUCCGCUCACGGCGUCGGCGGCGAUUCUCCGAUCCGUCGCCCGCUCGCUCCGCCUCCGGCAGCCCCUGGAGCAGCCGGGGUGCCAUCGUCGAGGACCUGAGCCUCAGCACGCGCCUCCUCAGCAGCUCCGUGCCCACCGAGGCAUCGCGGAGCGAUAGACCUUACACCAUGGGUCGUGUCUAUUCCUGCCUCAUUCCUUCUGUUCACCCUUUAUAAUUAUGUACGGAGCUGACUGACUCAAUAGGGGGGAAGUUGUUAGGGACUUGUAGAAACUCUCUGUUUAUUUUGGAAGUAGAAUGAUGUAGCGCCUCAAAUGUCCUAUGGUAUUGCAAGGUUUAAUUUAAUAAAGCGAUAUGUGAUCUAUGGU